GACGAACGCUGGCGGCGCGCUUAACACAUGCAAGUCGAACGGUAAGGCCUGCUUUCCCUUGUGGAUUGCGGGUACUCGAGUGGCGAACGGGUGAGUAACACGUGAGUGAUCUGCCCCCACCUUGGGUAUAAGCCUGGGAAACUGGGUCUAAUUCCCGAUAGGACUGCAGGGUGGUUCCUGUGGUGGAAAACGAUUUUCUAGUGGUUGGGGAUGAGCUCGCGGCCUAUCAGCUUGUUGGUGGGGUAAUGGACUACCAAGGCGGCGACGGGGAGCCGGCGUGAGAGGGUGGACAGUCACAUUGGGACUGGGAUACGGCCCAGACUCGUACGGGAGGUAGCAGUGGGGAAUAUAGGACAAUGGGCGGAAGCCUGAUGCAGCGACGGCGCGUGGAGGAUGUCGGCCUUCGGGUUGUAAUCUCCUUUCGAGCGCGAGGAAGCCACCUGGUUGGAAGGGUGGUGACGGUAGUGGUAGAAGAAGCACCGGCUAACUACGUG
rnacentral:rRNA from 1 species